rnacentral:rRNA from 1 species
UACGUAGGUGGGCGAGCGUUGUCCGGAUUUACUGGGGCGUAAAAGGGAGCGUAGGCGGACUUUUAAGUGAGAUGUGAAAUAUCCGGGCUUAACUUGGGUGCUGCAUUUCAAACUGGAAGUCUAGAGUGCAGGAGAGGAGAAUGGAAUUCCUAGUGUAGCGGUGAAAUGCGUAGAGAUUAGGAAGAACACCAGUGGCGAAGGCGAUUCUCUGGACUGUAACUGACGCUGAGGCUCGAAAGCGUGGGGAGCAAACAGGAUUAGAUACCCGCGUA